CGGGGUGCACCAGGCGCGAAAACUUUACAAUGCCGGCAACGGCGAUAAGGGAACCUCGAGUGCCAGGUUACAAAUCUGGCUGUCGUGAUGCCUAAAAAGCAUUGCAUAACAAGGGCCGGGCAAGACCGGUGCCAGCCGCCGCGGUAACACCGGCGGCUCGAGUGGUAACCGUUAUUAUUGGGUCUAAAGGGUCUGUAGCCGGCCGGGUAAGUCUCUUGGGAAAUCUGGCAGCUUAACUGUCAGGCUUUCAGGAGAUACUGCCUGGCUCGAGGCCGGGAGAGGUGAGAGGUACUUCAGGGGUAGGGGUGAAAUCUUGUAAUCCUUGAAGGACCACCAGUGGCGAAGGCGUCUCACCAGAACGGACCUGACGGCAAGGGACGAAAGCUAGGGGCACGAACCGGAUUAGAUACCCGGGUAGUCCUAGCCGUAAACGAUACUCGCUAGGUGUCGGCCACGGUGCGACCGUGGUCGGUGCCGUAGGGAAGCCGUGAAGCGAGCCACCUGGGAAGUACGGCCGCAAGGCUGAAACUUAAAGGAAUUGGCGGGGGAGCAC
rnacentral:rRNA from 1 species